GACGAACGCUGGCGGCGUGCUUAACACAUGCAAGUCGAACGGAAAGGCCCCUUUGGGGGUACUCGAGUGGCGAACGGGUGAGUAACACGUGAGUAACCUGCCCUUGACUUCGGGAUAACUUCAGGAAACUGGGGCUAAUACCGGAUAGGAAUCCUUGCUGCAUGGUGGGGGUUGGAAAGCUUCGGCGGUUUUGGAUGGACUCGCGGCUUAUCAGCUUGUUGGUGGGGUAGUGGCUUACCAAGGCUUUGACGGGUAGCCGGCCUGAGAGGGCGACCGGCCACAUUGGGGCUGAGAUACGGCCCAGACUCCUACGGGAGGCAGCAGGGGGGAAUAUUGCACAAUGGGCGGAAGCCUGAUGCAGCAACGCCGCGUGCGGGAUGACGGCCUUCGGGUUGUAAACCGCUUUCAGCAGGGGCGAAGCUUGUGGUGACGGUACCUGCAGAAGAAGCACCGGCUAACUACGUG
rnacentral:rRNA from 1 species